rnacentral:misc_RNA from 1 species
CACUGAUCUCUAUAAAAAAAUCUGGAUACGUCAUUGGCUCGCCGCGCUGACGCAACCGGGCGUCCAUGCCACCACUCCCAUCCACCACUCGAUGAACGCUAUCCUCCAUAGGUUUGUGUACUAUUUUUCUCGUAUUAUUAGUGACAAAUAUGCUUCAAAAUGCCAUCAUGUGUUGCUGUGAACUGUACAAAUCGUCAAGCAAAAGGUUGUGGACGAACAUUUCACCUUGCAGAAAAACUGCCAGAAAGCCACCGAGGCAGAGAAACUUCACCCAGAAGCCACAGAAGGAGUCCCAACAGGCAAUCCAGAGACGCCAAGCCCAAAGUUAUCGCAUAUAUACAAAGACCAUAGCUACUCUACACUGCAAAGCCCCCGAACAGUAACGCGAAGAUUAGACAUUUUAUAUGACCAUGUGAGUAAUCUAAAUAAGAAAGUAAAGACACUGCAACAGAAGUCACUCCGACUGAGUAAAAAAGUCACCAAUCUGCAGGAAGUCGGAAACACGCUAAGGAAUGAGAACCGAGUUUCAGCCAAUGCAGCAGAUAUGCUCUCUAAAACUUUUUCUGAUGUCCCAGCAGAUGUGAUGAAAAGAAUGGUGGCAAACGAGUCAAGCGGGAAACUGAGUAGAAAAACCUAUCCUCCGGCACUGAGAGCAUUUGCACUAACUUAGCACUUUUAUAGUGCAAAAGCAUACAGACACGUAAGGAAAUCCUUUGAUUUUGCCCUUCCUCAUCCAUCUGUGAUCAAGCGAUGGUACAUGGGAGUGAACGGAGAGCCAGGAUUCACGAAGGAAUCAUUCUCUGCAUUGAAGAUCAAGGCAGACCAAGCCAAAGAGAAGGGAAACGAAGUUGUUUGUGCUCUCAUGUUGGAUGAGAUGGCGAUAAAAAAACAUGUUGAGUCGAGUGGCACCAGGUUUCACGGAUAUGUAGACAUUGGUGUUGGAAUUCAGGAUGACACUACUCCACCGGCUCAAGAUGCACUUGUGUUUUAACUCAAUUUCGUUUAUGAUUUAGUAUGUUCAUGAAAUAUAUUGGAAGAAAAUAAUGACAUUUCAAGAAACAGCUUGAUGAGAAUCACAUUUGACUGA